GGGUUGUGAGGUUAAGCGACUAAGCGUACACGGUGGAUGCCCUGGCAGUCAGAGGCGAUGAAGGACGUGCUAAUCUGCGAUAAGCGCCGGUAAGGUGAUAUGAACCGUUAUAACCGGCGAUUUCCGAAUGGGGAAACCCAGUGUGACUCGUCACACUAUCAUUAACUGAAUCCAUAGGUUAAUGAGGCGAACCGGGGGAACUGAAACAUCUAAGUACCCCGAGGAAAAGAAAUCAACCGAGAUUCCCCCAGUAGCGGCGAGCGAACGGGGAGGAGCCCAGAGCCUGAAUCAGCAUGUGUGUUAGUGGAAGCGUCUGGAAAGGCGCGCGAUACAGGGUGACAGCCCCGUACACAAAAGCGCAUGUGCUGUGAGCUCGAUGAGUAGGGCGGGACACGUGGUAUCCUGUCUGAAUAUGGGGGGACCAUCCUCCAAGGCUAAAUACUCCUGACUGACCGAUAGUGAACCAGUACCGUGAGGGAAAGGCGAAAAGAACCCCGGCGAGGGGAGUGAAAAAGAACCUGAAACCGUGUACGUACAAGCAGUGGGAGCACCCUUUGGGGUGUGACUGCGUACCUUUUGUAUAAUGGGUCAGCGACUUAUAUUCUGUAGCAAGGUUAACCGUAUAGGGGAGCCGGAGGGAAACCGAGUCUUAAUUGGGCGUUAAGUUGCAGGGUAUAGACCCGAAACCCGGUGAUCUAGCCAUGG
rnacentral:rRNA from 1 species